AUACGGAAGGUCCUGGCGUUAUCCGGAUUUAUUGGGUUUAAAGGGAGCGCAGGCGGGAGGUUAAGCGUGACGUGAAAUGUAGCCGCUCAACGGCUGAACUGCGUCGCGAACUGGCUUUCUUGAGUGAGUACGACGUCAGCGGAAUUCGUGGUGUAGCGGUGAAAUGCUUAGAUAUCACGAAGAACCCCGAUUGCGAAGGCAGCUGACGAGUCCUUUACUGACGCUAAAGCUCGAAGGUGCGGGUAUCGAACAGGAUUAGAUACCCUGGUAGUCCGCACAGUAAACGAUGAUAACUCGCUGUCGGCGAUAGACAGUCGGUGGCCAAGCGAAAGCGAUAAGUUAUCCACCUGGGGAGUACGACCGCAAGGUUGAAACUCAAAGGAAUUGACGGGG
rnacentral:rRNA from 1 species